UUGCAUUAACCUGAGGGCAGCUGCCUUCCCAUCAAUGUUGCAGAGGCUGCACAGAAGGUACAGUGUUGCUGCUCUGAAUUCUUUAUGGCACAUCGAUGGAAACUACAGACUGAAGGUGGAGGAUAGUCAUCCAUGGUGGCAUUGAUGGUUACAGCUGCCUUGUGUUUCUCCACGCUUCCAGCAACAAGUGCAGCAUUACUAAAUGCUGAGGCCAGACAGUCCAUCCAGGCUUAGAACAGGAUCUGGUAGAAGCUAGAUUUCUGUGAUUGCCACCUAUUGAAUUGGAUAACCAUGGACCGGAACAGAUAAUCAAUAUUUUCCUGCAGUAGUGAAUGUAGGUUACGGCUCGACAUUAAAUAAUAACGAGAAGAAGAAGAAGUGAAUGUAGCUUGUUUCAUAACAACAUAGGUUGAUGGAGUGAUAUUGAGGGGUGAUUGUCAUUGUUUGUUUACUAAUUGUUAAAAAUAAACAAUGUAUAUCUUGAA